rnacentral:rRNA from 1 species
UGGCGACGGGUGAGUAACGCGUGGGUAACCUGCCCUGUACAGGGGGACAACAGCCGGAAACGGCUGCUAAUACCGCAUAAGCCCGCGGCGCCGCAUGGCGCUGCGGGGAAAACUCCGGUGGUACAGGAUGGGCCCGCGUCUGAUUAGCUAGUUGGCGGGGUAACGGCCCACCAAGGCAGCGAUCAGUAGCCGGCUUGAGAGAGUGGACGGCCACAUUGGGACUGAGACACGGCCCAGACUCCUACGGGAGGCAGCAG